rnacentral:tRNA from 1 species
GACUCCUUAGCUCAGUUGGUAGAGCAGUACACUUUUAAUGUACGGGUCGAUGGUUCGAGUCCAUCAGGGGUCACCA